AGUUCACAUAAAAUAUAUCUCCUAGUGUCCAGUUUGGUUUUAUCUGAUGAAGCAAAGCAGAGAAAAUAGAGUAUCCUACAGUCCAUAUGCUUCAGUCUAUUGUGUCUUGAUCUAAGAAGAGAUGCAGAACAGAUGCUAAGAAGACUUAGACACAAUGAGCCCCAGAAACAACCUUAUCUUUCACCACCAUCUGCCUGGUUUAUUCUACUCCUCAAGUUCACCAAAAGCGUGCUACCCUCAAGUUUUUCUACCUACUGUUUCUUCUGCUUGGAAUAUUCUUCCUCUAGCUGUUCAGAUUGGACAGCAACCUCUUUUCAUCUGCAGGAAUGCUGAUGUUCCAUGUAGAGAGGAAUUAUGACUAUGCCUCUCGUGCAAGUCUGAGCCUGGAGGACACUCAUCCUGUGGUAUGCUGUCGCCCCAGAGUGAUCCAGAAAAGCUGUCUGCAGACGUGCUCCUGCCAAACUCCUGUGGAAGAAACCCCAGCUAUGUUUUCAGUGGUGGGUCUGGGGAGAAGAAGUAUCCUUUGGCAAAAUCCUUCAAAAGUACCAGAGAGCCCUGGCUGUUGGGGUACACUUGCAGACUUUCCCCACUGAGCCACUUUACCUGUGCCUCUGCUGAAAGAAACUUCUCACAAGUGGAAAGUUGAGGGGCUGAAGGCCUGCAGUCUGAUUUCUUUUGUUCUACAGGAUACUCCCUUAAUGUGAUCGAAACUGCUUUUGCAAAGAUUAUAACCGAGGAAAUUACGACAGUGAAAGAGAUCAGACCUAACUGACUCCAUCUUGCUUCUAAUCUUGUUCAAUAUCUUUGUUAAUUCCUGGGCAUAGGUCGAAAAACCUUGUGAAGGAAUUCAGUUUAUGGUUUGACUCUGAAACAAAACUGCUAACAGCCCUUUCUCGAAAAGACCUCCUUCUCACCCGGGAACUAGUCUGCCUUUGUAGGACUAACAAAUUAGCUACAAGGUUAGAAAUUACUGUUUAGGGGUCAUGCAGCCUCUGGCUCCAAGAGUCUGAACCUCCCCAAAUUGCUCCUAGGAAUAACGCCACUACUGUAAAACCUAAGAUCAGGUUUUAUUUUAAAAUAUCAGGUGAUAUUUUGCAGACCCUGCAUUGGGUGGAUCAACUGACACCACCCAGACCUGUAAUCUGGCCCAACCAGUUCUGCGAUCCUACUCAGGAACAGAAGAUAGCAAGAAAACCUCAUCUUGACCCCCUGUGAUUUCAUUUCCAACCUGACCAAUCAGCACUCCCCACUUGCCCAGCUCCUACCCACCAAAUUGUCUUUAAAAACUCCCUAUCCUGGAAUGCUCAGAGGGACUGAUUUGAGUAAUAAUAAAACUCUGGUCUCCCACACAGAAUUACUGCAUGAAUUACUCUUUCUCCAUUGCAAUUCCCCUGUCUUGGUAAAUCGGCUCUGUCUAGGCAGCGGGCAAGGUGAACCCAUUGUGCGGUUACAUGGUGCCCUCCCAUAUGCCCUAGAAGUAGCCAUUCCUGAGGGUCAGACUACUAUGAAUCCUGAUGCUCCUCUAUGUCUAACUGCCCAGCGGGGCGACCACAUUCCAGGCUGGUGCUGGGGAAUGUCUGCUAAGUAUCCAAUGAUGUGGCCUGUUCUCUAGUCUCCCUGCAGUGGGUAACAGCACCAGCUCUGAUGGGGGUGGGAGGGGGCUUACAUAGACUCUGAGAUUCCCUUAGUUAUAUAUAGCCUUAUUGUGUUGGUUUUCUCAAAGGCCAAAUUUAGUAUUCAUGUACUGGGUGUGUGAACAGACUCAAGACCUCCUGGUCAGCCAGGGUGAUGCAAGAAAUGGUGGUAACCGAGGUCAUGCAAAAGUUUUCUCUUUCCUGAAUGCUGUUAUUCUGUCUGCAGAUGCUGUAAUGGACUGUGUUGGUUGGCCUCCAGCCAGGGGGUGGUGCUUGCAAAAUAGUACCAGCGGCAGUGGUAGCAGUGGGGUUUGUGCUUGCCUUAUGUUUCCCAGAGAAUGUACUCUGGUGUCUCAGGCAAGGGGCGGGAACAUGGAGCUCUAAAACAUCCCUGUCUAUUGUGUUGCACAACCAGAGCAGAUGAAGGGGUAAAGCCAGAGCAGGUGGAGGCUGGGUCAGGCAAGUCUGUGCUCGGGCUCCCCAUGUGCAAGCUCAGGAAGUGGCUCCAAUGUGGAUCAGAGGGCAGUUGCCUUGCCACUGGGGUAAUGUUCUAGGGAGGAGUGCAGCUUCUUCUGCUGCGUAAAAUAAUCUGCACAGGGAGCGGUGGGUAGCCGGCAGCAGUAAGCUCCACUCAGCUCCCAUGCACUUGGCAAGGCACAUCUCAUACUCAUAGUGUUCUACUAGCAACAGCUAGCUGAGUUCCAGGCAGCCUCUACCCAGAACUCGAAACUGGUGGAGAACACAGCUUUCAGGCCAUGCCCCUCCCAGUCAACCUAUGAAGCAGGUGGCUGUAAGCACACUUUCCGCUUGCCACUCCAUUCUGGCUGAUGGGGCUCAUCCCCACUCAAGAUCAUAUUGAAAAUUUCAGCUGGGAGAUUCUCUCAACCUGUGACCAACACCUGAGUUAGCUGGCCAACUUCCAUGAUGUCCCUUGUGAGGUGAGAAUAGGAAUGGCUCUGUACCCAUUGGGGUCUGGGAGUGCAUGCAAAGUACAUCCUGAUGCUGCUGCUUCUCCUAUAUUCCCCACCUCUCACUAAAUCAGCUCCAGAGCCUGGAAGGGUUAACACCUUCACCUGUGGCCUAGAUCGCCCAGCUCCCUGUGGGAGUGUGUGUCACAGCAUCAUCUCUCUCCCUCUCAUGACCUGGAGACUCACACUUUUCUGUGUGGCCCACAGUGUAGGCUACAGCCCAUUGCUUCUUUCAAAAGGCCUGUGGUUUAUUUGACUUUUUCUGUUAAGUUCCUGUGUUGCUUCAUGGAAAACCGAGUUCACAGAAUAAAUCUUAACACACUAUUUUUGCCUUUCCAAGUGGGAGAGGCAGGCAAACAUUGACUCUAAUCUACCAUCUUGCGGGGGUUGGGGGUGGGGAACAGUUUUAUCUUUAAAGUGACCAAUAAUGUCUCUCCAGGAUAGAAUAAAGCAAUCUUUCAUAUAAGUAGCAGAUUAAGAAAAUGGCAACAAGGAAUCUCACCAGAUCUUCACAAUUAGGUUAAUUUUGUUAUUGCUUUAAAUCUCCUUAAUAAAAGUAACUACUUAGACAAUUUUUUUGUAGUUAACAACACACUUGCACAAUAUUCAGGGCAAUCAAUAUAUAUGCAAAUUUAACUACUAAUAUAUUCACUUCAAUCAGUAAAGUAUGCAGAAACAUAAUAGUUGAAGUAUUCAGCUUAGGUAGUAAACAGUAUGCAGCUGGCUCUAUAAAAAUAAAAUAUGACUAUGACAUAAAGAAAAUUUACAAAACGUUUAAAUCUCAAGACUGCUGUCCAAGUUUUC